rnacentral:piRNA from 1 species
GAGGGACAGAGGUGGUCGGUUGGUGCGA